rnacentral:tRNA from 1 species
GCGCCUGUAGCUCAAUAGGAUAGAGCAUCUGCCUUCUAAGCAGAGGGUUGCGCGUUCAAGUCGCGCCAGGCGCA